GCAUUCGCUCAAUCUAUCACUCCCUCUCUGUCUCUCUCCCUUUUUUUGAAUUAUGUCAUCUCUUUCCGUAUCGGUCUCCUGCUGAUUUGGAGUUUUCAAUUCUACUCCCCGCCGUGUAUACUCCCGGGUAUAUUUCUGCGGUUAGCUUUACUGUCAACCGCUUCUGUGUUGGUGUAUGUGCGUGUGUGUGUAUAGGUGGAGAUUGACAGCUUUUCAUUUCAUUUCAAUCUUGCCCAUCAGCACACGAGUCACGGUGGUCAAAACGUAACUCGAGCCUUGCCGAACGAACCGAACAGAGCGGGUAUUAUUCACGUCGCAGCGUAUACAGAUACUUGCAACAACCGGUCCUUACAUCCGACCUCAGCUUGACUGCAAGGAUGAAGUUUAACAACGAUCUACUGCAUUCCUUAAAGGAAAAAGUCCUGAAGAUGGCGGCGCGAAAAAGACGAUUAGCAUUUGAGGCAAAGCAACGCGCUGCAAUGAGACGUUUAUUGCAGGAGCGUAAGAACGAACAGCAGCGACACCAUCAUCAUCCGUAUGGUCGCUAGCGCCCCGCACGAAACCCGCCAGCUUUGCCUGUUAUUGUUCGGCUGGGCAACAGUAUUUUGUCAUGAUUUCUUUCGGUCGGUGUUUACUACAAAUUGUUAGCUUUCUAAAUUUUCCAGUGGUCUUUUAGCUCAAUGUAGCCCCUUUACAAGAAUUUCUUGCGAUCAAUGACAAAUACACGGCUGAUUCCCAAAUGAUA